AUUGAACGCUGGCGGCAUGCCUUACACAUGCAAGUCGAACGGCAGCGGGCCUUCGGGUGCCGGCGAGUGGCGAACGGGUGAGUAAUGCAUCGGAACGUGCCAUUGAGUGGGGGAUAACGUAGCGAAAGUUACGCUAAUACCGCAUAUUCUGUGAGCAGGAAAGCAGGGGACCGCAAGGCCUUGCGCUCUUUGAGCGGCCGAUGUCAGAUUAGCUAGUUGGUGAGGUAAAGGCUUACCAAGGCGACGAUCUGUAGCGGGUCUGAGAGGAUGGCCAGCCACACUGGAACUGAGACACGGUCCAGACUCCUACGGGAGGCAGCAGUGGGGAAUAUUGGACAAUGGGCGCAAGCCUGAUCCAGCAAUACCGCGUGUGUGAAGAAGGCCUGCGGGUUGUAAAGCACUUUCAGUUGGGAAGAUAAUGACGUUACCAACAGAAGAAGCACCGGCUAACUCCGUGCCAGGAUCAAACUCGU
rnacentral:rRNA from 1 species